ACCGAACGCUGGCGGCAGGCUUAACACAUGCAAGUCGAGCGGGGGAAGGUAGCUUGCUACUGGACCUAGCGGCGGACGGGUGAGUAAUGCUUAGGAAUCUGCCUAUUAGUGGGGGACAACAUCUCGAAAGGGAUGCUAAUACCGCAUACGUCCUACGGGAGAAAGCAGGGGAUCUUCGGACCUUGCGCUAAUAGAUGAGCCUAAGUCGGAUUAGCUAGUUGGUGGGGUAAAGGCCUACCAAGGCGACGAUCUGUAGCGGGUCUGAGAGGAUGAUCCGCCACACUGGGACUGAGACACGGCCCAGACUCCUAUGGGAGGCAGCAGUGGGGAAUAUUGGACAAUGGGGGGAACCCUGAUCCAGCCAUGCCGCGUGUGUGAAGAAGGCCUUAUGGUUGUAAAGCACUUUAAGCGAGGAGGAGGCUACUUUAGUUAAUACCUAGAGAUAGUGGACGUUACUCGCAGAAUAAGCACCGGCUAACUCUGUGCCAGCCGCCGCCGUAA
rnacentral:rRNA from 1 species